GUGGGGAAUAUUGGGCAAUGGGCGCAAGCCUGACCCAGCAACGCCGCGUGAAGGAAGAAGGCUUUCGGGUUGUAAACUUCUUUGACAGGGGACGAAACAAAUGACGGUACCCUGAAAACAAGCCACGGCUAACUACGUGCCAGCAGCCGCGGUAAUACGUAGGUGGCAAGCGUUAUCCGGAUUUACUGGGUGUAAAGGGCGUGUAGGCGGGAUUACAAGUCAGAUGUGAAAACUAUGGGCUCAACCCAUAGCCUGCAUUUGAAACUGUAGUUCUUGAGUGAUGGAGAGGCAGACGGAAUUCCUCGUGUAGCGGUGAAAUGCGUAGAUAUGAGGAGGAACACCAGUGGCGAAGGCGGUCUGCUGGACAUUAACUGACGCUGAGGCGCGAAAGCGUGGGGAGCAAACAGGAUUAGAAACCCCGGUAGUCC
rnacentral:rRNA from 1 species